UGUUCUUAUUUAUUUAUUUUUUUUGUUUUGUGCUUUGCUGGUGAAACUAGAGCUGCAGAACGAACCCCAACACAGACCAAGAGAGGCGGUACAAUGAACUUCAUUCCUGCACUUGGACAGUAGUGGAGGGGGCAAUUGGGACACGGGCAAUCGGGACACGGCCA